rnacentral:rRNA from 1 species
GACGAACGCUGGCGGCGUGCUUAACACAUGCAAGUCGAACGGAAAGGCCCUGCUUUUGUGGGGUGCUCGAGUGGCGAACGGGUGAGUAACACGUGAGUAACCUGCCCUUGACUUUGGGAUAACUUCAGGAAACUGGGGCUAAUACCGGAUAGGAUCUCCUGCUGCAUGGUGGGGGUUGGAAAGUUUCGGCGGUUGGGGAUGGACUCGCGGCCUAUCAGCUUGUUGGUGGGGUAGUGGCUUACCAAGGCUUUGACGGGUAGCCGGCCUGAGAGGGUGACAGGCCACGUUGGGCCUGAACUACGGCCCAGACUCCACCGGGAGGCAACAGUGGGGAAUAGUGCACAAUGGGCGGAAGGAUGAUGCAGCAACGCAGCGUGCGGGAUGACGGCCUUCGGGUUGUAAACCGCUUUCGCCUGUGACGAAGCGUGAGUGACGGUAAUGGGUAAAGAAGCACCGGCUAACUACGUG